rnacentral:lncRNA from 1 species
GUCGCUUGUUCCACUGCACAUGGCCCGAGAUCAACAAGCUUUUUGUCCGCUGCUUCCAGAGCCUGUUGCUGUUUGUGAGCCUCCUGCCAGCGGCAGCUUGCGGUUGCAGCGAGACGGGCCCUGAGCCUCCAUCGACAGACUGUCAUCGAGGGGGAGGCGGACGCUCUGCCGCUAAGUCACCAAAAGUGAUGCGUCAAAGUCCCGAUAAACAACACUGUAAAAAAACUGUGAUCCAGCUGAGAAGCAACAUGGACGCCACACCUGGUUCACACCUGGCGGCUCCUCCAGUCUGCAGCGUUUCCCAAACCAAGAACAGACGGUGUAAAGAGUGACUUAUUGGAUUGGAUCCCACCCAGCAGUGACUUAUACGCUCAACCUAUAUGUCACAGAUGGCUGCUGAGACCUAUACGCUGCAGCGCAGUAAUGACCCACCCACCGCCGGCUGACGGCCCCUUAGCGCCCGCUCGGGCCCUUCACCAGGAGUCCUGUCAGCGCGGAGGAAGCGGGGGACGCGCCGCGCCCAGACGCCGCACAGGCAGAACCCAGAGCGGCACCUACGGCCCAAACAGCAGCAGCAGCAGCGGCGGCGGCCGCUGACUCACUGUUUGCCUGCAAAGCCAUCUCUGGGAGGAUUAGGUUCAAAACCGCAACAGUAAUGAUCAGUUUGCAUCAAAGACGUCUCCAGAGCGAAAAACAACACGCCGGCACGUCGCUGCUUGGAGCCCCGGGUGGGUUCAACGGGCCUCGUGCAGCUAUUAGCACACCUUCACCAUGACGCAGCAAAGCAGCGAGUCUGAUCUACUCAUACGAUCCAAAAACAUGGAUCAUAUCAACAAGAGCAAUUCAUAAAUGUUUUUUUCCUAAUAGGUUAUAAAUGAUCAAAGUUUUGAAGCAAAAGCACAUCAUGCUCAGUCAGUGGUCUAGUUAGUGAUCCCAUGAUCCCCCUCAUUCUCUUUCUCUGCCUGUUCCUAUCAGACGCCUUUAAUCUCUGCUAAGACAGUCACGUCCAGAUCUGUCGUCUGCGGUGCCGACUCUGCUGAAACGCAACCUGCCAACUGCUCUCCUUCAUUACCUCGGCAGAGGAGCACACGGCGCGGUAAUCCCUGCUGGGAGGC